rnacentral:lncRNA from 1 species
UUCACAGCUGCUUGCUGAAUGAAAUGGGAAAAACACACACAUACUUAGGGAGUGUGUGUAAGGAGAGGAAUUUCAGGAUCAAGGGAUGCAAGUGGCAGGAUAAAGUAAUCUUUUCAAGUUUUGAAGCCCCCAUAUGCCUACAGGAAUACACUGCUUAGCAAGCCAUGCCAGGCAGUUGCCCCUGGAGCCACAUCACCAUGGCUGAAAACACCACAGGAGCGAUGGCCACAGACUCUGUGCACUGCUGAGCUCUGCUGGAGAAGAAAGAAUUCUCAAAUGACACUUUGCUGAGCAAGAAGGCUUCUUUGAUGGGCUAAACGUUCCUGGGCAUGAGAAGGGGAGGAGGAACAGGAGAGGACAGAUGGUUCUCAUGGCAGGAAAAAGAUGACACCACUCUCAUUAUCCAAGGUAUCCAAAGAAGUUAUAAUUAGUGAGAGUUACUUCUAAUUAUAUUUCAUUUUGCAAUUAACAUGGAUUAAUGCUAUGACGAGCAACAAAGGAUGGAGAGGAUCAAAACAGCAGCAAGUUGUGAGACCACAGGUAGGUAAUUCAGAGGAAAUCAAACUAUAAACAAAGGUAGUAAAACUAAUGGGCCAGCCCGGAGUACCUCUUCCCUUCGCAUCCACUUUUUGUGAUUUUUAUCUGCUCUCUAGUCUUCAGAGGGUCUGGUAGUUUAGGAUUUUUUUCCCUUAUUCUGUUACUACUCCCUGACUCUAGAACAGUGAUCUAACUGAACAUCUGGGAGAGACCGUGAUUUUAAUCAAUGAGAUCUCAUCUGAAUUCUGAUAGUCUAGUCAAUAGUUAUAUAUAACAUAUAUAUGACAUCAGGCAAAAUAAUUAACUUCUCUCCAUCUCACUGUUCUUUUUUUUUAUUUUAAGAAAAGGAGGUUUGAGGUGAUUAUACUAUGAAGUUUCACUUGGUCUCGGUUUUCUAUCUUUCACAUUCAAUUGGUCAGUGAGACUUUUCCAAUUCUCUCCAUUAAGUACCUUCUGAGUCUAUGAACUGCUCAUUUUCUCAUGCCAUUACUUUGUACCAGGCCCUCACAGUAUCUUGGACUAUUGAAACGGCCUUUUAGUUUAUUUCACUUCCUCUAAUCUCAUAGUUCUUUCUACUUAGUUUUCACCUGUUUGAGGUUUAAUUCUUCCCAGUUGCAUGUUUGAUUCAAUCCCUAACCCCUUAAUGGAACUAUCAAAGUUACAGUCAAGUAAGUCUAGAUGGCUUUUCAUGAUAUGAAAACUUUUUCACCAUCUGGCUGUUUUUUAUAAUUCUACUUUUUCUUCUCUUUCUCCUCAUUGAAUGAAACUUGCUGGGCUGGUUUUUGUAUAUACAUAUCCUUAGGCCUGAAAUAUCUGUCCAUAUGCCAUUUGCUUACUCCUCUGAUGACUUGCUAUUUAUUUUUGAAACCCAGCUCAAAUAUCUUCUCUUCUUACUCUCCUUCAUUAUUUUGAAUACUCUUUAUACUUUAAACGUAUGUUUACUGUUAUAUCUAUUAUACUAAGUCAAGUAAAUUUUAUAUGCACUGGACUUUUAGGACACGCAUAAAAUGUGUUAAUGAAGUCUUAAGUCUUUAUAAUUAUUUAAACGUUCCGGAUCACAGUUCAUAUCCAAUAAAUGUUAGCCUUUUUUUCCUUUCCCUUUUCUUCUUUCUUAAUGUCAGUGUUUUAGUUACACACACGUACAUGUACACUGUUGUGGAAAAGCCUGAAAGAUAUUCUUGAGGAAUGCUUGUUUUAGGGAAACUAAAUAAAUGGUAAUUUUUUAAAGGAAAUCACAGCAGAUGAGGUUCAAGAAAGCCCCAAGGUGAAGUGAAUGGUGAUAUGGCAGUAAUUCACUUAGAUUACCUUUUCAUUGGUAUGAAUCUUGGUAGAAAAAAAAAAUCUAUCUCCCACUUUCCAGCUCUGCAUUUUACCAAGCUCCUGAAAGUUCACUGAGAGUGCCUUUCUGCAAGCUGCUUUCUCCUUCUGGGUUAGUUUCUCCCUUUCUUCAGCCAACUGUUUCUAAUGUGAACCAUAAAUUAAGGCUCCCUUCCUUUGGGAAGCCACUCUAACAUGCCAAGGCUGAUUUCAUCAACUAUUUUCUGUGCUGUCAUAUCCUGAGCUUUCUACUUUCCACCCUGUCUUGUAAUCAUCUGUUUAUACAUUAUUCUUCCCUACCUGGUUGUGAACUUCCUGAAGGCAGGCUGGUGAUUCAUGGAUCCCUAGAUUCUGGUGACCUGUACAAUGCAGACAUUCAAUAAAUAUUUGAAUGAAUUAGUGAGUGAACAAAUGAAUGAAUCACAGAGGGAGGUCUUUGCCUGUCAUUGUUUUAUAUGUUGCCCUUUCCAGAGUAUAUCUCUCUAAGCAGUAGAGACUUUUCUUUGUAUUCUGUGUAUGGGUUAGGGCUUUGCCUGUUACUCACACUGAGUGGAGGCAAGAACUCUAAAAGCCAGGAAUACCUACCUAUCCCACCUCUUCCCAGCCAAGAGAAGUGGACAAUAUAAAAGAAUCAGUAUCAAAGGACUCAGAGUUACAAGCCCACACUCAAUCUUGACAUCCACUUACAGGCAUUUGCAAUGUCUCUCUCUUUUUGGCUUCUCAUUAAGCCUGCAGAAAUUAUGGGGAAGUAAAACAGCUCUUGGCUGGCACUUAACUUUUUCCUCUUUGAAAUCUGCAAGUCUAAUUAUUCAUUGCCCUCACAUGGGUUGUAGUUCACUUCUCUCCUGGAACCAGCCUGUCCACGGAUGCCCCAGUACACUCCCACUCCUGCCUUUCCGCUUGCAUUUUGAGAUGGCUAUAACACUUAGGGAAACUUCUCCUGAUUAAAAAAAUAAAAGGUUUAAAACGAGUCAAGAUGGCAGGUUAAAAAUAACUGAAACAGCCUCGCUGUCCCAGUUAUUACACGAUGGCCUGGCAGUUAAAACCUCCAGGCAGUGCCUCCGGCGAACUGAGUCCAGCACCUCAUCAUUAUCCUCCAGAAAUCCUUGGGUCGAUUGAAUCUGCAACCAUUAGCUAGAAUGGAAAGGUUCUGACCUGUCAUUUCAACAAGAAAAGGCAACCAAGCCAAGUUCUUCAUUAUAGGAAAGAUUUUUAGUGUUUUAAGACAUCACGGGCUCUCUAAUUUGUAAGGGACUAAUAGGGGGACAUCUUGGUGCUUCCCUGAUGAUCUGCCUCUCACUUGCGUCACCGACAGACUGGAUUAGGUGCCCCUCCCUUGCAUGGUGAAAACACCUCCUUAGCUCUGUAUCUCAGUGCUGUGAGAUGCACUUCAGAGUGGUGGCUAGGAAGGCAGCCUCUGGAGUCAAACUGCCCAAGAGAGGGUGUCAGCCCUGCCACUUACUAGCUGUGCCAUCUUGGACAAGUUACUUUACCACUCUGUGCUUCAGUUUAUGAGUAAAGUGGAAAUAAAUAUAGUCCCUACCUCAGGUGGGUUGUUGUACAAAAACGAAGUGAGAUAAUACAUGUACCGUUCUUUUAAAAAUGACAGAACAUGAUACACAUGUUAGCUGUUCAUAUUGCUAUUAGGUCAUUUUAUAAUUAUAGUCAUUUGUCCUUCAUUUGCAAACCUGCCUUUCCUAUUAGACUGUGAAUAUCCUGAGGAGAAGGACUUCAUCUUUUGACUGAAUCUUCAGGGGAUCAGGCAGGGCUUUGUUUUUGGUAGAAACAAAAUAAAUGAACAUUUGCAUAUGUAGAAGGACAUAAUUCUACAUUUUUAUUUUAGAGAGAGAAGAAAAACUAAGACAUAGAUGAAAAAUAGAUUAGAACCUAGAAUUAUAACCCAGUAUCAUGGCUCCUCCUUUGAUGUGCUUUCUUGGGUACCACAGGGAUGUUUGUGCCUGGAAAAUGGAAGGAUGAGGUCAGCUUCAUGCUCUGGGGAUUUGACCAGUGAUGGAAUUUGAGAAAAAAGAAAACUCAGAAGUCACAUCUCCCAGGUGUGUUAUCUAACUUUAUUAUGGAACCAAAUUUUCCAGAGAUUCCUGAGUCAUCCAAUCAAAAGAUCUCUUAUUUAGUAAUGCCCUUUGAAGAUUUAUAGGUACAUAGGUAUAUUUAUCUACAUAUAUAACAUGUAAAACUAGAACUCAGAGAAAUUAAUUGAAUAACUGUAGAUAAUAAGUGAAAAAGUGACUGGGCCAACAUAAAUCUCAUUGUUUGUCUCAAUUCAGGGCUCUUUUCAGUAGUGUAAGAUAGCAGUGAUUGCAUACUUACUAUGUAUUAGAUACUCUAGUAGGUGAUAUUUACUCAAUCUUUUUUCAUAAUCAUUUUUUCCUUUUGUCUUUUUAGGGCCUCAUCCAUGGCAUAUGGAGGUUCCCAGGCUGGGAGUUGAAUAGGAGCUGUAACCACUGGCUUACACCACAGCCACAGUAAUGCCAGAUCUGAGCCAUGUCUGCAACCUACACCACAGUUCACAGCAAUACCUGAUCCUUAACCCACUGAUCGAGGCCAGGGAUCAAACCCGCAUCCUCAUGGAUACUACCCGGGUUCAUUAAUCACUGAGCCACGAUGGGAACUCCAGUUUACUUAUAAUCUUUCCUCAUAAAAAUCCCAAUUGUACAGAUAGGAAACCCAUAGCUCACAGGAGUUAGGUAGCUUCCAAGUCAUAUAGGCAUCUUCCAAGGUCAUAUAACCAGAACAUAGCACAGGUGAGCACUAGGAUUCCUGAACAGAAUACCUUCAGGUCACUCGCUUCCACAUACAUCAAACUGUCUCUGGAGCCCUGUUUAGAGUAUAUAGACUUCCAUGAAUCAGAAGAAACAACAGCAGCAGUAAUAGUCAUAACCAAAUCCUGCACAAGAUUCAUUUUUGAUUCCAAAGAUAUUUGGACUUCUGCUUUUGGUUAAAAUGUCGUGAUGGAGAGUCAAUUUAUUUCCCAGCCUAUAUCAACCAAUAAAAUGACAAAAUACAUGCUUUCUAGACACCAGAUAUUAAGCAACAGAAAGACAGUGAACCUGACAAGAUAAAAACUCAAAAACUAGGAAUAGAGAAGACUCUCUCAACUUGAGAAAAGGUAUCUACAAACACACACACACACACACACACACACACACACACACACAGCUACCAUCAUAUUUAAUAGAUAAAGACUAAAACUUUUCUGCUGAGGUCCAGACCAACAAACACAAGUCUAUCUGUCUCCCACAUUUUUAUUCACCAUUGUACUAGCUGUUCUAGCCAGUGUAAUAAGAGGGGAAAAAGGAAAUAAAAGACAUUGAGAUGGGAAAGCAAUAAGUAAAAUUGUUUUUAGUUAAAGUUAACAUCAUCUCUAUGUAGAAAAUACAAUGAAAUUUACCAAAAAACUAUUAAAACCAUAAGUAAGUUUAGUAACAUUGCAAAGAUCAACAUAAAAUUCAGUUAUUUAUAUGUACUCUAACAAGAAAUUAAAAAAUAUUAAAAUAAAAAUAAUGCCAUAUACAGUAGCAUCAAAAAUAUAAGAUGCUUAGGGAGUUCCCUCAUGGCUCAGCAGGUUGGGGAUCCAGUGUUGUCACUGCUGUGGCUCUGGUUACCCUGGUUCCAGCUGUGGCACAGUUUCUAUCCCUGGCCUAGGAACUUCUACAUGCCAAAUAUAUAUAUAGUUAUAUAGUUAUAUAUAUGUUAUUUAUUUGUAUGUGUGUGUAUAUAUAUAUAUAUAAAAGUUUAUAUAUUUAUGUGUGUAUAUAUAUAUCUAUAUAAAAGUCGCUGGUAUAAUUGAAUAUUCAUAUGCAGAAAAGAACUUUAAUUUGGAGUUCCCAUCAUGGCUCAGUGGUUAACGAAUCCGACUAGGAACCAUGAGGUUGUGGGUUUGAUCCCUGCCCUUGCUCAGUGGGUUAAGGAUCCGGCGUCGCCCUGAGCUGUGGUGUAGGUUGCAGACACUGCUCAGAUCUUGCGUUGCUGUGGCUCUGGCGUAGGCUGGUGGCUAUGGCUCCAAUUAGACCCCUAGCCUGGGAACCUUCAUAUGUGGCGCGGGAACAGCCCCAAAAAAGGCAAAAAAAAAAAAA